rnacentral:rRNA from 1 species
GACGGAGGAUGCAAGCGCUAUCCGGAAUGAUUGGGCGUAAAGCGUUCGCAGGUGGCUGUUCAAGUCUGCUGUCAAAGACCGGGGCUUAACCCCAGAAAGGCAGUGGAAACUGAACGGCUGGAGUGCAGAUCGGGUAGAGGGAAUGCCCAGUGUAGCGGUGAAAUGCGUAGAGAUUGGGAAGAACACAGGUGGCGAAAGCGCUCUGCUGGACUGCAACUGACACUGAGGGACGAAAGCUAGGGGAGCGAAAGGG